UAAAAGUCGUAACAAGGUUUCCGUAGGUGAACCUGCGGAAGGAUCAUUAUUGAAAUAAACCUGAUGGGUUGCUGCUGGCUCUCUAGGGAGCAUGUGCACACCUUGUCAUCUUUAUAUCUCCACCUGUGCACCUUUUGUAGACCCUCUCCAGGUCUAUGUUGCUUCAUUUUACCCCAAUGUAUGUUAAAAGAAUGUUGUGCUUAUAAAAUCAAUACAACUUUCAGCAACGGAUCUCUUGGCUCUCGCAUCGAUGAAGAACGCAGCGAAAUGCGAUAAGUAAUGUGAAUUGCAGAAUUCAGUGAAUCAUCGAAUCUUUGAACGCACCUUGCGCUCCUUGGUAUUCCGAGGAGCAUGCCUGUUUGAGUGUCAUUAAUAUAUAUAUCAACCAUUCUCAUUGUUGAGUGGUUUGGAUGUGGGGGUUUGCUGGCCUCUUGAAUGAGUUCAGCUCCCCUGAAAUUCAUUAGCAGAGCGACCCUGUUCAUUGGUGUGAUAACUAUCUACGCUAUUGAAUGUGAGGGGCAGUUCAGCAUUCUAACAGUCUUUGGACAAUUUAUCAUUUAUGUGACCUCAAAUCAGGUAGGACUACCCGCUGAACUUAAGCAUAUCANUAAGCGGAGGAAAAGAAACUAACANGGAUUCCCCUAGUAACUGCGAGUGAAGCGGGAAAAGCUCANAUUUANNAUCUGGUGGUCUUUUGGCUGUCCGAGUUGUAAUCUAGAGAAGUGUUAUCCGCGCUG
rnacentral:rRNA from 1 species